rnacentral:rRNA from 1 species
UACGUAGGGGGCAAGCGUUGUCCGGAUUUAUUGGGCGUAAAGAGCGUGUAGGCGGCCUGAAAGGUCAGCUGUGAAAACUCGGGGCUCAACCCCGAGACGUCGGUUGAAACCAUCUGGCUAGAGUCCGGAAGAGGAGUGUGGAAUUCCCGGUGUAGCGGUGAAAUGCGCAGAUAUCGGGAAGAACACCCGUGGCGAAGGCGGCACUCUGGGACGGUACUGACGCUGAGA